CAACUAUUUUUUCUCCUUAAAUUUUAUUCCUCUCUUAGAAUCCAGCUCUUUCCAUGAAAAAUCUUCCUUAAAAAUUCUCCUUAAUUCUCUUCCAUUGUCUCCUCCUUUUUCCCAUUAAAAAAAUUUAAAAUUAGUAUCUGCUUUUGGAGCUCCGGCGGUUUUGUUUUUUCCGGCGGUGGCGAUGUUGUCGCUGCAAACCGAUCCUCGGCAGUACAAUCAUCAGCAGCAGCAACAGCAAAAUCAGCUGCUGAUGAUUUCUAGGGUUCCGUCGUAUGAUGGUGGCGUUACCGCUGGUGAUCAGAGGAUUGAUUCCUCUUUUCCGUUUCAGUCUGAAUCCGCAUUGCCUUUCGCUAGUAUCAAGUCCGAGUUGUCUCGUGAAGUAGAUGAGGACGCUCUUUUAACUCUUGCUCAUCAGAACUACAAAGCUGGGAACUAUAAACAGGCACUAGAGCAUAGCAAGGCAGUUUAUGAGAGAAAUCCAGGGCGCACUGAUAAUCUUCUUCUUUUUGGGGCUAUAUAUUAUCAGUUGCACGAUUUUGAUAUGUGCAUUGCAAAGAAUGAAGAAGCCCUAAGGAUCGACCCACAUUUUGCUGAGUGCUAUGGAAAUAUGGCGAAUGCUUGGAAGGAAAAAGUCAAUAUUGAUGUUGCAAUACGCUAUUACUUAAUUGCAAUUGAGCUCCGUCCCAAUUUUGCGGAUGCAUGGUCAAAUUUAGCCAGCGCAUAUAUGAGGAAAGGAAGGCUGAAUGAGGCAGCCCAGUGUUGCCGCCAGGCUCUAGCAUUAAAUCCACGUUUGGUUGAUGCUCACAGCAAUCUCGGCAAUCUGAUGAAAGCACAAGGUCUAGUCCAAGAGGCAUACAAUUGUUAUGUUGAAGCAUUGCGUAUACAACCUACAUUUGCCAUCGCAUGGUCCAAUCUUGCUGGCCUUUUUAUGGAGGCAGGUGAUCUUAACAGGGCUUUGCAGUACUACAAGGAAGCGGUCAAACUAAAACCGAACUUCUCAGAUGCGUAUCUGAAUCUGGGAAAUGUAUACAAGGCUUUGGGAAUGCCCCAGGAGGCCAUUGUGUGUUAUCAGCGUGCGCUCCAAGUACGACCAGACUAUGCCAUGGCUUUUGGCAACUUAGCUAGUGUGUACUAUGAACAAGGAAAUAUGGAAAUGGCAAUACUUAACUACAGGAGAGCUAUUACUUGUGAUGCUGGAUUCUUGGAGGCAUAUAACAAUUUGGGUAAUGCUCUGAAAGAUGCUGGUAGAGUGGAGGAAGCAAUUCAUUGCUAUCGUCAAUGCCUCUCUCUUCAACCUAGCCAUCCGCAAGCACUGACCAAUCUGGGAAAUAUUUAUAUGGAGUGGAACAUGAUGAGUGCCGCUGCACAAUGUUAUAAAGCAACUUUGGUUGUGACAACAGGGCUCUCAGCUCCUUUGAACAAUCUAGCCAUAAUAUACAAGCAACAGGGUAAUUAUGUAGAAGCCAUAUCUUGCUACAAUGAGGUACUCAGGAUUGACCCAAUGGCAGCUGAUGGACUGGUCAAUAGGGGUAACACAUACAAAGAGAUUGGUAGGGUUAAUGAAGCUUUACAAGACUACAUGCGUGCUAUUUCCAUUAGGCCUGCUAUGGCAGAGGCUCAUGCAAAUUUGGCUUCAGCUUACAAGGAUAGUNCUCCCCCACUGCCAAAUAUGGGAGGUGGCAGGAACGGCAGCCUGAGGGUUGGAUAUGUGAGCAGUGAUUUCGGCAACCACCCACUAUCGCAUCUAAUGGGUUCAGUUUUUGGGAUGCAUGACAAAGAGAAUGUUGAGGUGUUCUGCUAUGCUUUAAGUCCAAAUGAUGGUACAGAGUGGAGGAUUCGCACCCAGACAGAAGCGGAGCAUUUUAUUGAUGUGUCAUCCUUGUCAUCUGAUGUGAUAGCGAGGAUGAUUAAUGAGGAUCAAAUACAGAUACUUAUCAACCUUAAUGGUUAUACCAAGGGGGCGAGAAAUGAGAUAUUUGCCAUGCAGCCCGCUCCAAUCCAGGUUUCAUACAUGGGGUUUCCUGGAACCACAGGGGCAAAGUACAUAGAUUAUUUGGUUACAGAUGAGUUUGUUUCACCUACGAAGUACGCGCAUAUUUACUCAGAAAAGCUUGUACAUCUCCCUCAUUGCUAUUUUGUCAAUGAUUAUAAGCAAAAAAACCGUGAUGUGCUAGAUCCAACCUGCCAACCGAAGCGCUCAGAUUAUGGACUGCCCGAGGAUAAAUUCAUAUUUGCAUGUUUCAAUCAGCUCUACAAAAUGGACCCUGAGAUUUUUAUAACUUGGUGCAAUAUCCUCAAGCGUGUACCGAAUAGUGCUCUUUGGCUUCUGAGGUUUCCAGCUGCAGGGGAGAUGAGGCUCCGCGCACAUGCUGCUGCACAAGGCCUGCAACCGGACCGAAUUAUUUUCACAGAUGUUGCAAUGAAACAAGAGCACAUCAGGCGCAGCUCCUUGGCUGAUCUUUUCCUUGACACGCCUCUAUGCAACGCACAUACCACAGGAACAGAUGUUCUCUGGGCUGGUCUACCAAUGAUAACCCUUCCCCUUGAGAAGAUGGCUACUAGAGUUGCUGGUUCCCUGUGUGUGGCCACAGGACUUGGGGAUGAGAUGGUUGUCAGCAGUAUGAAGGAAUAUGAGGAGAAGGCAGUGUCAUUGGCACUAAAUCGUCCAAAGCUCCAAGAUCUCACAAAUAGACUAAAGGCUGUGCGCAUGAGCUGCCCUUUAUUUGAUACAGCACGCUGGGUGAGGAAUCUGGAACGUUCUUACUUUAAGAUGUGGAAUCUCUAUUGCUCUGGCCAGCACCCUCAGCCCUUCAAAGUGACUGAAAAUGACUCAAGAGUUUCCUUUUGAUCGCUCGUUGUAGAAAGGAAGUCAACAUGAUUUUGUAGAUAAAACCAAGAGAACAUAAACUGCUAUUUACAUAUAGAAGUUAGAUUACUGGAUUUUAGGUGUUUGUUGGAGUUGUGAUUAAGUCGUAAGUAGUCUUAAGCAUAUCCAUUCAUGGUACUGGAUACUCUCGAUGAAAGUUUAUUAGUUGCUCAAGUGCAAGUGAAUGUCGAGACUCACCCAUUGUCUAGUUUGGUUUGAAUUUGGAGAUGCACAAGAGAGAGGCUGGAGGGAGAAGGGUGGUUGUUAGGUGUAAAAUCCAAGUAUCCGAUCAAGGAGAUGUCAGGAUAGGUGAAUGAUUGUUUUUGAUUGUAAGUUUUUAUUCAUCGGCCUGUCUUGACAUUUUCAGCUGAUUUUUAUGCAGGUGUCCGAUACCCCUAGUAAACCAACAACAUUGUGUUUGA